GCAGCGCCUCGCUUAUUUCUUUGCCAAGUGAAAACUUAAUUAUUUAUUAUUUCGUAGUCUCGUCCCCUCUUCAUACACUCUUAGAACCCUCCCGUGGCUGCUCUUGGCUUUUCCUGGAAGAAUGGCCUUUGCAGCUGUCGCCUGGCUGGGGGGAGGGGGGAGGGGCGAGGGGGACCUCACAGCCCCCCUGCCCCGGGACUGGGGACAUCGCCGCGUCCUGCGCCCUUAGGACUGAGGUCAGGCCUCGCCUCCAAUAGGUUUCGGCAAAAUGUCUGCCAGCGAAUCGUUUCCCCCGCUUUUGGAGAUAGUAAGCAGUAUUCCUUUGCUUUGUCUGCACUUCCGGGGGGGAGAGAAGGUGUAUCUGCAAAGGAUGGCGUUGUGAGCUGAAGUCUGAAGCUGCCGCUGCAGACUUGAAAGCAGGACGGCUUGCCCGGAAAUUAGCAGGGUUCAGAGCCGCCCAUCAACCAAACCCACCUCCGUGCUCAUGCUCCAGACACAUUCUUUGCUUGGGGGAAAAAAAAAAAAAAGACACCCUGGAUCCAUCACUUGAAGUAGCCACAAUUAGGGGAAUUUCGGGACGGCGUUAUUCUGAAUCCUUUGCUGUGAUAGCGGAGGCAGGUGUUAAAACGGAACAGUUCUUCCGAGACGGCCUCGGUGUCCCCUCCACGCGGAGGCCGUGGCUUCCCCUCCAGCUGGGAGCCCAGCUCUGCUCUGCUGCCUGGCUCUGCUUCCUCGCUCUCCAGAAAGCCAGUGGUUCCCGUGAUAUCUCUGCCUCAGUCCUGCACUCAGGCACAGGAGUGGCCAGGGGUGUCGUUAGUGGGCGUUGGGGGCCCCUAACCUCUAGUCCCUAAAGACCUGCUCCAAAGCCUGGUUUUGCGUGGCCUCCCGGAGUCAGAAACACUAGAGGACCCAUGUGCUUCUUUUCAACAGUCACCGUGUAUGGAUGUGAUACACGGUCAGGAUCCCACCUUACCAGGAGGCCCGGAUGCACCCUCAAGUCAUUGAAAUGUAUCUUACAGAGCUGAGUUUGACAGGCCAAAUAAAGAUGUUAGAUUUUUCAGGCCACUCUGAGGAGUGCAGUGAAGUCUCUCUUUGCCCCGCCCAGCAUCCCCAAGCACUGCCCUGGUCUGCGCCUGACCUUCACCCAUCAGCAUCAUCACGGCUCAAUGAUCCAGGGUCACCCGAAGUAGAUCCUCCUGCUGAACUACCAUCGGAAGGUCAACGGCAGCUUAAUGCUAGAUCACAAUGUCUACGUCAUCCACCACACCUCAUCACAGAAGCGCUAUGUCGUUUCACGCCAGCGCACGGAAGGUGAGUACAGCACCAUCAGAUAUUUUGACAGAGAGAGAGAGAGACAGACCACAUAACUUUUAUUACAGAAUAUUGUUAUCACUGUUUUAUUAUUAGUUAUUGGUGUUCAUCUCUUACUGCGCCUAAUGUAUAAAUUAAACUUUGUCAUAGGUCUGCAUGUAUAGGAAAAAACAGAGUAUCUAUAGGGUUUGGUACCCCACCAUGUUUCAGGCAUCCAUCGGGGGUCUUGGAAUGUUCCUCCGUGGAUAAGGGGGUCACUGUAGAGUGAACGCAGCUCUCUCCCCAGGGGAAUCAGGCAGGUCAGGUGUAUAAGACAUGUUGACUUAGCAGCCUCGUCUGUGACCUUGCUCCUGGCUUCCCCACCCCCAUGGUAGAUGUGUGGAGACAUCCCUCGGGGAAGCCUGGUAUCGGAGGGCAGGGGACCAUCUCUCCCCGGCCAGGAGGCUCCGUGGCUGCUGGAUUAGCCAAUGAUUUUGGGGUCUGCAGGGUGACACAUUAGGAGGGGUGUGCUCAAAGGUUAUUCAAACAUUUCAAAUAAAGCAUAUUUGAGCAUGGGAAGGCCAAGGAGUGUUAAUCAAAUGUCAGCACCAAGACACUGUGUGGGCUAUUUCUGGAGCGUUUGCAGAGUGGGCCUGGCUGGGGCUCUGCAGGACGCAUGUGUCCCCGAGGGAGGAUACAGGCAGAGCCCUGCGCCCAUGGCCCGAGCACGCGGGGCCCCCGGAUGUGGUGCAGGGACGGGAUACUCUGAAACAGACACAGAGGACACGCACAUGUGUGGACCACCAAGGCCGGGGUCUGUUCCAGUCUGCCCUUCUUGGGAAGUUCGAUUAGAAGGAAAUAUUCUGCAUAAGAAUGAUGGGCACAGAGAAAUGACUGACGUGAUCACAUGCCGGUGAUGGGCGCCAAUCGUGGAAAAGAAACAUCCUCCUACAGCCUUCACGUCACAGACCUCGGCCCCAGAAGCGCCUUCCCUGCCACAUCCGUCCUGCGUCCUUCCACAUCUCCCUCCCAGCCUCCUUCCCAGGAAACCGAGCCCGAGAUGCCACUCUCUCCCCAGCUCUGAUCAAAACAGCUCUGAUCAAAACCGCAGCCCCAGUCACAAACUCAAGAGUCUUUUGACAGCAGCAAUUAAGCAACUUAAUUAAUGAGUGAAUAAAAAUGAUAAUAUUUACUGAAUGGA